AGUUUCAUGGCGGCCCGUACCCUAAACCGACUCAGGUGGUCUGGUAGAGAAUACCGAGGCGUUCGGGUGAACUAUGGUUAAGGAACUCGGCAAAAUGCCCCCGUAACUUCGGGAGAAGGGGGGCCACACCUGGUGAUCACUUUUGCAGUGUGAGCUGGGGGUGGCCGCAGAGACCAGCGAGAAGCGACUGUUUACUAAAAACACAGGUCCGUGCGAAGCCGUAAGGCGAUGUAUACGGACUGACGCCUGCCCGGU
rnacentral:rRNA from 1 species